UACGUAGGGGGCAAGCGUUGUCCGGAAUCAUUGGGCGUAAAGAGCGUGUAGGCGGCCCGGUAAGUCCGCUGUGAAAGUCCAGGGCUCAACCCUGGGAUGCCGGUGGAUACUGUCGGGCUCGAGUCCGGAAGAGGAGUGUGGAAUUCCUGGUGUAGCGGUGAAAUGCGCAGAUAUCAGGAGGAACACCAAUGGCGAAGGCAGCACUCUGGGACGUGACUGACGCUGAGACGCGAAAGCGUGGGGAUCAAACAGG
rnacentral:rRNA from 1 species